UUCACACACUAACACACUCACACUAACCCAUUCACACACUAACCCACUCGUUCACACACCCAUUCACACACUCCUAUUCAUUAACACACUAACUCGCCCACUCACACACUAACUUGCCCACACGUUCACACACUAACUCACCCACUCAUUCACACACUAACUCAUUCACACUCAUUCACACACUAACCCGACUCAUUCACACACUAACCCACUCAUUCACACACACACCCAUUCAUUCACACUAACUCACCCACUCAUUCACACACUAACCCACUC
rnacentral:lncRNA from 10 species